AGUUAGGUCAGACAGUACAGUUCUCUGGCUAGUGUACCGUCUGGAACAGACAGACAGGACAGGGCAGAGUUAGGUCAGACAGUACAGUUCUCUGGCUAGUGUACCGUCUGAAACAGACAGACAGGACAGGACAGAGUUAGGUCAGACAGUACAGUUCUCUGGCUAGUGUACCAUCUGAAACAGACAGACAGGACAGGGCAGAGUUAGGUCAGACAGUACAGUUCUCUGGCUAGUGUACCAUCUGAAACAGACAGACAGGACAGGGCAGAGUUAGGUCAGACAGUACAGUUCUCUGGCUAGUGUACCGUCUGAAACAGACAGACAGGACAGAGUUAGGUCAGACAGUACAGUUCUCUGGCUAGUGUACCAUCUGAAACAGACAGGACAGGGCAGAGUUAGGUCAGACAGUACAGUUCUCUGGCUAGUGUACCGUCUGAAACAGACAGACAGGACAGGACAGAGUUAGGUCAGACAGUACAGUUCUCUGGCUAGUGUACCGUCUGAAACAGACAGACAGGACAGGACAGAGUUAGGUCAGACAGUACAGUUCUCUGGCUAGUGUACCGUCUGGAACAGACAGACAGGACAGGGCAGAGUUAGGUCAGACAGUACAGUUCUCUGGCUAGUGUACCGUCUGAAACAGACAGACAGGACAGGACAGAGUUAGGUCAGACAGUACAGUUCUCUGGCUAGUGUACCAUCUGAAACAGACAGACAGGACAGGGCAGAGUUAGGUCAGACAGUACAGUUCUCUGGCUAGUGUACCGUCUGAAACAGACAGACAGGACAGGACAGAGUUAGGUCAGACAGUACAGUUCUCUGGCUAGUGUACCAUCUGAAACAGACAGACAGGACAGGGCAGAGUUAGGUCAGACAGUACAGUUCUCUGGCUAGUGUACCGUCUGAAACAGACAGACAGGACAGAGUUAGGUCAGACAGUACAGUUCUCUGGCUAGUGUACCAUCUGAAACAGACAGACAGGACAGGGCAGAGUUAGGUCAGACAGUACAGUUCUCUGGCUAGUGUACCAUCUGAAACAGACAGACA